GUUCUCACGUACACACUGCCCGUUCGCUUGGAGUUUGUACUGCUCCUCUCAGGUCUAGUGUAAAUAAAGUGCUCAGCCCGCCAGCGUUGCAACUAGAAUUAAGCUCCCUGUGAGCUGAAGCAACAGUUCAGCUGUUGGUGAGGGAGGGAGACUUGUGGAAAACAAAACCUGUUCACCCUUCACAUCAUUCUCUUGAGUCGUGUUCAGGAUAGGGAGAAAACUAUUUCGAAACCGAGAGCUACUGCCUGAAUUUGUACAAUAAGAACACAGCUUUUUGUGUUCUGUUGUGAAACGUUUUGCUAUGGUGUGCCCUACUGGGCACAACCCUGUUCAGUUCCUUCUCAGAAGAAUCCAUCCUGACUUGCUUUCAACUUUCAAUUCUUGGCCAGAGCCUUAAAGUGUGUCUACAAUGAAGACAAAUGAAGUUAAUAUAUCUUUUGAAAAUAUUUCACUGUUUAAUACUUGGUGACACAACACCCAGCAAGAAUUACCAGCUUGCCAAAUCAAGUUUAUAAAGCAGGACUCUUGUUACUCUCUGCAGCGGGUAGUCUCAUGUAGGCUAGGCAUGCAUUUCUCAGAAAUCACAUACAGCAUUCUUUCUGUCUGCUCAGAAAAAUUUAGGGGAUCUGUUGGCCUGUCUGUCAAUCGUAUAUGUGUUUAUUAUCUACAUCAGGUUUCGGAUGGCUGUACAUUUUAAUUUAUAUAGUGAUUGAAUGAUAAACUUAAGAAACAGAGAUUUCAUCCAUAGCACUGCAGUUUAAAACAGAUGUUCAGGAAUGAAAAUAUGUUAUGAGAGUUUGUCAAAUCAUCCUCAGUCUUUUUCAAGUUUUCUAUUUCGUUGUUUUAUUGUAUAAAUAGCCUCCAAAUAUAAUAUUGCAUUUAUAAGGCCUCUUACAAUUUAUACAUAAUUCUAUAUUGUGAGCUUUAAUGAGGAAUACAUUUAUCACAUCUGAAUAUAAGAAAUUAAACACAUUUUUAGAACCAAGGCAGUUCAGGUCCAAAAUCACUUCUGAUAAGAGUUAUGUUGUUAAUCCAUGAUCAUGUGCAUUGUUCUUUAAAUGGCUCUCAUGAUUAGGGAGGUGAAAUUAAAUCUGCUUUACAAUUAAGAUUAUAAAAUCAAAGUUCACAUAGGCUACUGUUUCUCUCUCCCUGCGCAUCUUUGGUAGCCAAACGUAUGUCUUUAUGGUUGAAUAAGAAUCACUGUUAUAAUCAUUGGCCAGUACAGAAAAUUAAGUAAAACCACAAGUACAAAUCCCUACCUCCAUCCAUGGCUAAUUUAGGAAAGGGACCAUUUUAGCUAGCUAGCCACCAAGGACAACAACAAAAUGAGAUGCAACAAUUCAAGGUUUAUUCUGUCAAUGACGUUUUGCUUUUGAUGUGAUUGGUGUGAAGACAAAUCCAAACUGG
ensembl:lncRNA